GACGCGGUAUAUCGUGUACGCGUACCGUGUACCGUGUACCGGUAUAUCGUGGAAAACGAUCGUGGAAUGGCUUGCUCCGCCCCCAAAGGGGAGGAGCCUAUUAUCGUGGAAUAGGUCGAUUUCCACGGUAUAUCGUGGAAAGCGAUCGUGUACCACUAUACGUAUACAUACACAGCAGACAACAGGCCCAAAGAAUCAAAAUUCAAACUUGACACGUGUGGUGAAUUGUUUAUUGACUUCAUAUACAAGUAGUUUUAAGUACAAUGUCUUCCAGGCCAAAUAGAAAAUGCAAAGCCACUAAUCCACCUCUGUCAACAGUGUGUAGAAGUUCAAAGAUAUAAAAUAUCAACAUGGCCGCGCACAUCUAGAUGCUACUUAUAGAAAAGCUGCACCUGUACUUUUACUUAUUGCUUUCCAACUAGAUGAUGCUUAUUGACUAUGCCUCUUGAUCAAGUAGCCGACGGCUACUACAAGAAAACUGAAUAAUGGCCGAAAUGAUGGGUGCCGGCACGUUAUGGCAAUUUUUGUUUUUCGAAGGUUUUAGAUGUAAUUGUUCCAAAUAAAUUACGACCUAUAUUCCAAAA